AAAAAAAAAAAAAAAAAAGGAUUGCUGCUGUGUUGUUGAAUGAAUUAUUGAAAACUUGAAAUUCCUCCUGGGUUGUUAAAUUCAGUUUGAUUUAAUUAAGCCUAUAUUUAUCGAUUUGGUUUAAUUCUGUUAUUGUUAUAUUAUCGGUUUAAAUUUUUUUAAGAACUUCAGUUUUCUUUUCUUUCUUUUUUUUUAAUUCCGCUCCUAUUUGCACACCCCUAGUUAUUUCUGACAACAAAAAACCAUAUAUCUGUCCUCUGCGAAAAUACCCAUGUCAUCCAUAGUUUAUUAAAAAGGAAAUGUUGCUCAAUGAAAGGGACGACUUGUGUAAGAGUAAGUAGCCACUCCUUUUCUAUUUCUUAUUUGGGGUUUUGGGUUGGAUUGGAAGGCAGGAUACUUGUUGAUAGACUGUUGCAUUCCUUGUGUCAGCUUGCCAAUAAGAAUCAGGUACGAGAGAGAGAGAGAGAGAGAAAUUCCAUAGAAAGCUUGAUACCUUUUGCUCUGCAGUUCUCUCCUCUAUUUUUCAUUUUUAAAUAUUACUGUUUCAGGUGAUAAGCACUAAGAAGAAUGCUCAUUUGAAGAACAUAAAAAAAGCCUUGAGAACUUGCUACUCUUCACGACAGACAGACUUGCUGGGCUAUGAAGCUCGUUGUGCUGCCAUUUCAGGGUGCAUAGGUGUUGUCUAUGUUGCAUGUCCUCUUCCAAAUCUUGCUCAUAUUUGUCUAAUCUUGAGGCAAGAAUUUCUUGGAUCUAACUUGCUUCACCUUAAUUAUAUGGACAACAAAUGCUUCCUGAACGUGUGAUUGUUGUACUUAUUAUUAGUCUUUUUUCGAAACAUAUAAUCAACCUAUCCUUUAUAGAUAGCUUUUAGUCUUUUGCUAAUAUAACACAGCACACAAGGACAACUUUGGCAUCGUG
rnacentral:misc_RNA from 1 species